rnacentral:rRNA from 1 species
AUACGGAGGGUGCAAGCGUUGUCCGGAAUCACUGGGCGUAAAGCGCACGUAGGCGGUCUUGUAAGUCAUCUGUGAAAUCCCGGAGCUCAACUCCGGGCCUGCAGUUGAUACUGCAUGACUAGAGCUCGGUAGAGGCGAGUGGAAUUCCCGGUGUAGCGGUGGAAUGCGUAGAUAUCGGGAGGAACACCAGUGGCGAAGGCGGCUCGCUGGGCCGUUGCUGACGCUGAGGUGCGAAAGCGUGGGGAGCAAACAGGAUUAGAUACCCCAGUAGUCC